rnacentral:misc_RNA from 1 species
GAUGAAGAACGCAGCGAAAUGCGAUAAGUAAUGUGAAUUGCAGAAUUCAGUGAAUCAUCGAAUCUUUGAACGCACAUUGCGCCCGCCAGCACUCUGGCGGGCGUGCCUGUUCGAGCGUCAUUUCAACCAUCAAGCCCCUAGGGGCUUGUGCUGGGGCCCUGCGGCUGCCCGCAGGCCCUGAAAACCAGUGGCGGGCUCGCUAGUCACACCGAGCGCAGUAGCACAUCUCGCUCAGGGCGUGCGGCGGGCUCCUGCCGUGAAACCCCCCCCUGUAACCCCAAAGGUUGACCUCGGAUCAGGUAGGAAUACCCGCUGAACUUAAGCAUAUCAAUAAGCGGAGGA